AAGUUAAAAUCUUAGCCAGAGAGAAGAAAUGACUAAAUGUUUGUCUGAAUUUGAGACAUUUAUGACUCUUGCUUCAGCCAUCACGCCUAAAAUAUUUGGCUACCUCGUACGUGGUUGUUUUCAAAGGGUGUAUACUGUUAAGAAGAUGCCAGAAUGAGAGUCUGGGAGGAAAAAAAUGUGCCUAAAAGAGACUGUGUCUGCCCCCCGCUCCCAUCCAAAUCCAGAGGUGCAGAAAGGAGACCAGCGCACAAUCGUAACUACCUUUUUGUUAAUUUACCCUCAGAUGUGGCAACAAAUUUGACAGAGAGAGGAAGAAGGAGAAGGACAAGAAAAUUGCUGUUAAAUCCGUUUCCUGCGAAGAACGGCAUUUGAUGCAGAAACACACAAAAACAUCUUUUUGUUUGUUUUUAAUUUUUACAUUUAAAGCUCGACUGCUUUGCUAUGAAAUUCUGUGCAUAAGCUUCUAGAAGCACUAAUGCUGAUCCUGUAAUAAUUGGCUGCUGCACAGACACGAGGACGUCACAGAGAGAUAAAAUCAGAAUGUGUCCUUAAUAUUAUGGACUGUUUUCUGUGGGGGGUGGGGGUGCUGUUGGGAAAUAAAUGUCAGUGAAUGUUGUUCGUACUUCAAAUUGAAGUGAUUUCUACAAUAUUGACUACGUUUUAUUAACUGAACCAAUCAGGGUUUGUUUCAAGAUUUUUAUUUUUUCCUCCCCCACAUUAAAAGCCAAGAUGGGUCACAUACAUAUUCAUGUUGUCAUCGGUGAGAGGAUGAACUGAUGGCUUCUUCCUCCUCUUUUCUCUCUCUGGAUAAAAAUCCAUUUUCAGACAAGCUUAGAAUAAGAGAGCAAUUGAUUAUUUUUUUUCUUUUCUCUGUGUCUCAUUACAGAAUUCAUCUCUCUCUCUUCCACAUGUGCACACACAUGCACACGCCUGCGUUUUAAUGUAAUGCAAUGACCUGCUAGAUAAAUUAACACGGAUGUGCGUCCUGCUGAAAAAGCUGUGUGUUUGAAAAUAAAAAAAGAUGUACUGUAUAUUAUGUGUUUGUAAAACAGAAAAAAAAAAUGCAGAAUCCCAAAAUUAAAUUGUUUUAUAUUCUUACAGGUUAAAACAAUUAAAGAUAUUUAUAUAAUGAA